rnacentral:rRNA from 1 species
UACGGGGGGGGCAAGCGUUGUUCGGAAUUACUGGGCGUAAAGGGCGCGUAGGCGGUUCGCUAAGUUGGAUGUGAAAACUCUGGGCUCAACCCAGAGCCUGCAUCCAAAACUGGCGGGCUAGAGUUCUGGAGGGGGUAGCGGAAUUCCUGGUGUAGCGGUGAAAUGCGUAGAUAUCAGGAGGAACACCGGUGGCGAAGGCGGCUACCUGGACAGAAACUGACGCUGAGGCGCGAAAGCUAGGGGAGCAACCGGG